UCCCCGACUGUGUCUCUAUCUCCCUAAUUUAUUAUAAGUUAUUUGUUUUCCACCCAAGCGAUUGUUAUGGUGGCUUUUUAAUCCCCUAUACUUACCCCCUGUUUUCAUGUGUGUCCAGAACUCACGCAGAGCAAAUUGCUUGGGUGGUUUGCUAUAGCUCCGCCAAAUAAACGCCCAAGGAUGACUACUGACUACUCGAUUGCAAACCCGGUUGGAGUAGCUGUUUCUGAGAUGGAGGGGCGGAGAAGAGAUGAGUGUUUCUAUGCAAUGGCCAUGGAUUCAUCAGUCAAUGAUUUAUUUAGGUAUGUGCAAACAUGGUGGACACUUGUUUUGACAUAUUUGUUGAUCGGAUAACCAGCGCGUGUGUGCGCACUGCAAAAAUCUGCAUAUCAUGAACAAAAUGGAUUUUGUUCCGUGUGCAGGGUGUGGUUCAAGCAUGGGCGCCCAUAUCUCAUUGAGAUGACUGGUGAGGAGGUGCUGGAAGAGUUCCACAUCGAUAAAACACUUGCCCAAAAAGGCCUUGACUCCAUUCUACGUUUGGGGAUCUGCCCCCCGGCAUCAGGGAGACUGAUCAUUGGGCCUGAUUAGGCGUUCAAAGUUUCAUACACUAGGGGGUACUGGAGGAGAGCGGAUGUCCGUGCAAUGUUUAAUCAACUACCACCCGGGGUUUCGUGCGAACUGGGGCUGGUUGUGGUGUACCUUGGUCAAGGGUGGAGUCUGUAUGUCUUUGACACGCUGCGAAGGGUUCUUCAUUUAAUUGAUCCAAACAUUUGCAAGCCUGCUGAGAGCCAGAUGAAAGCAAAGCACUUGCGGAAUGCAGAGGAGCUGUUGGAUGCAUUCUUGAAGUGUGGUGAGAUGUUCUGGGGGGAGGGGAAGGUGCCACACAAUGGAUGGUCUUAUUGUUUCCACCCUACGUGCACC